UCCAGAUGAUGAACGGUAAUU
ensembl:piRNA 21ur-3339 ncRNA